UAACCUCUGUGCUGCCCUGGUGUGAGUAACCGUCUCCCAGAAAUUUGAACAAGUUCAAUUACUUUCUUUUCAAGCUGCUUACACUACAUUGACUUAUGUUUUUACACAAUCUCAGAAGAGGAGAACCACUGAGGGAACGCCUUCCGCCCACCGACGCCUCCACCGUGACCUCCACUUCUGAGAGGAAUUGCCUACAGAUCAAGUACGGAGUGUGCCUGAAUGGACAUACAGAACUCCAAGGUUCGGCCCUGCGUUGAGGGUUUUCCCAAAGGGGAGGGCCCGGCGGGCGGUGCCUCACAGCCCUCCGCCUGUGGGAGUGGCCCUUUCUACUAAGGAAGCAAGUUCUGCAUGUCCUGGUGACCCUCCACCUGUUUCAUAGGUCGUUGGACUGUGGCAGGAAGCCGGAGUACAAGGAGAGAACCCACGCAAAACCGGGGAGAACAUGCCAACUCCACACAGAACGAUGGUAGAGCUGAACUCAGGACCUUCUUCCGGUUGGGUAACGGUGCUAACCUCUGUGCUGCCCUGGUGUGAGUAACCGUCUCCCAGAAAUUUGAACAAGUUCAAUUACUUUCUUUUCAAGCUGCUUACACUACAUUGACUUAUGUUUUUACACAAUCUCAGAAGAGGAGAACCACUGAGGGAACGCCUUCCGCCCACCGACGCCUCCACCGUGACCUCCACUUCUGAGAGGAAUUGCCUACAGAUCAAGUACGGAGUGUGCCUGAAUGGACAUACAGAACUCCAAGGUUCGGCCCUGCGUUGAGGGUUUUCCCAAAGGGGAGGGCCCGGCGGGCGGUGCCUCACAGCCCUCCGCCUGUGGGAGUGGCCCUUUCUACUAAGGAAGCAAGUUCUGCAUGUCCUGGUGACCCUCCACCUGUUUCAUAGGUCGUUGGACUGUGGCAGGAAGCCGGAGUACAAGGAGAGAACCCACGCAAAACCGGGGAGAACAUGCCAACUCCACACAGAACGAUGGUAGAGCUGAACUCAGGA